GGACACUGCUGGCCAAGGGCCUCCACCUCAGGAGCUGCUGCCUCUCAUCCACUUCCGGGGCGAGGGUAAUGGAAGCUCCCUACCGCCAAGCACCACGACCCUCCCCUGCCUUCUCCAGGCCUAAGGGUCAAGCUGCCAGGCCACCAGGCAGUGCCAGAUACUUACAGCAUGCCUACUGUGUGCAAAAUGCCAUGCUGAAGGCUGUCAGGGCUUGAAAGGUGAUGAUUCAGCAGAGGAUGCUGUUUGUGCCUCACCCCGUGUCCUCUAGCCCACUUCUCCACUCAUCUGCCACCGUGAUGGGAAGGUGUCAGCAAGCCCAGGAAUUGUCCACCCUAAGCAGCCUUUCUGCUUCUCACCUGCAGAGUUUCUCCAGUGCAGGGACCAAGAGAGCUUUACUCAGCCCACAGGACAGCUGGGAUUUAGCACUGCAGGGGCAACCCUCAAGUUAUUAAUAAGAGAUAAGAAUGGGUGGAUAAGCAACCUGGCUGCCUUGGAACUCCGUGGGACAAUUCCAUGGUGUGUUCUCACAGUUCCUCAGUGGGCCCCCAUUGCCCACAAUGAAACUCGAUCAUUAACCACUCUUCACUGGCUUUUCUCCUAACCCAUCCCUAUCUCACUUCCCCUUUCCCUCCCUCCAGCCUCCAGGGAUCACCUCCUCAGUAAACUACCUGCACCCAAGUUCUUGUCUCAGGGUCUGAUUUCAGGAGAAACCAAACUAGGACAU
rnacentral:lncRNA from 10 species